rnacentral:rRNA from 1 species
CACGGGGGGAGCAAGCGUUGUUCGGAAUCACUGGGCGUAAAGGGCGUGUAGGCGGUCAGGUAAGUGAGACGUGAAAUGCCCCGGCUUACCCGGGGACCUGCGUCUCAUACUGCUUGGCUUGAGUACGGGAGAGGGUGUGGGAAUUCCUGGUGUAGCGGUGAAAUGCGUAGAUAUCAGGAGGAACACCGGUGGCGAAGGCGCACACCUGGCCCGAUACUGACGCUGAGGCGCGAAAGCUAGGGGAGCGAACAGG